GCAGACACAUUCCAGCCAAUCAGCAGCAGACCCUCCCUCCCAGACCCUCCCACCUCCUGGACAGCAUCCAUUUUACAUUCAUUGUGAAGCUGCAUUCUUAGUGAGCUGUCCAGGAGGUGGGAGGGUCUGGGAGGGAGGGUCUGCUGCUGAUUGGCUAGAAUGUGUCA